AGAGUUUGAUUCUGGCUCAGAUUGAACGCUGGCGGCAUGGCUAAAGCAUGCAAGUCGAACGAGAACCCGCAAGGGGGAAAGUGGCGGAAGGGCGAGGAAUACGAUCGAACGUGCCCCGAGGUGGGGGAUAGCGUCGGGAAACUGACGGUAAUACCCCAUGUCCUCUACGGAGAAAAGGUUUACCGCCUUGGGAGCGGCGAUCGUCCUAUCAGCUAGUUGGCGGGGUAAUGGCCCACCAAGGCGACGACGGGUAGCAGGUGUGAGAGCACGACCUGCCGCAUCGGGACUGAGACACUGCCCGGACUCCUACGGGAGGCUGCAGCGACGAAUCUUCCGCAAUGGGCGCAAGCCUGACGGAGCAAUGCCGCGUGUGGGAUGAAGCGCCUUCGGCGUGUAAACCACUGUCAGGGGGCAGAACCAACGAUCGCCCCCAAAGGAAGGGUCGGCUAACCCUGUGCCAGCAGCCGCGGUAAGACAGGGGACCCGAGCGUUAAUCGGAAUCACUGGGCUUAAAGGGUGCGUAGGCGGAUCGCUAAGCGUCGUGUGAAAUCCCCCGGCUCAACCGGGGAACGGCACGGCGAACUGGCGGUCUUGAGGCAGGUAGGGGCGGACGGAACUGUAGGUGGAGCGGUGAAAUGCGUAGAUAUCUACGGGAACGCCGAUGGUGAAGACAGUCCGCUGGGCCUGUUCUGACGCUGAGGC
rnacentral:rRNA from 1 species